UUUUGUUAAGCUGCUGUGCUGCUAAACUUUUUGAUGUCUUCUGUCCAAAAUUGCUGCCAUGUCUGUCAUCUCUUGUUUCUCUCAACAGUCUGUUGUCUCGUCUGACUGUCCUACAAGAAGGCUUUUGUCUGUCUCUGACUGAUGACUGACUUAUAGAAAUUAAAACUUGACUGACAUUAAUUGGACUCAGAAUAACAUUGAAGAAAUGUAAAUAGGCUUUAUUGGACUGACAUAUCAGACAUGUACAGUUUAUUAACUUUACUGGCAGAUUGGCAACGAACACUAAUAUUUAAACUUCAACAAUUAUAAAUUACAAUACUAUUAAAUUCCCAAGGACCAAACAGGCUUGUCAUAAAUGAGGCAAUUUGAGGAUCAAGAUUCAAAUUUUUCUUUUCUUACAAAGAGAACAAAUCCCUGUUUUUCAUAGUGUUGUAGGAUUAAAAUUCCAUCUAACCCCCCACGUCUGUCGCUGGUGGGCUACCAUCUACUGCAGAGCCCAAGACACUGAGGGAGGAACCAGCAGAGAUCACUUGGGGCGAUUUUAUGGUAGAUCUUCACAGCGAUCUCCUAGUAGACCUUCAAACAGUAGGACUAAUUUUCUUUACAUUGGUGGUUGGCCGCGCGCCUUGACUUCGCUUUUUACGCCGGCUACCUUGCCGAUCUAUCCAUCUCCCGUGGCCGCCGCGUCAUGACUCCGCUUUU
rnacentral:lncRNA from 1 species